rnacentral:rRNA from 2 species
GGUUUCCGUAGGUGAACCUGCGGAAGGAUCAU